AUUGAACGCUGGCGGCAGGCCUAAUACAUGCAAGUCGAACGGAAACACGAAAAAGUUUGUUGUUUCGUUGAAGAGUGGCGGAGGGGUGUGAAAUGUGUGGGACAUUGCUUGAUGGCGGGGGAUAAUUACUGGAAACGGUAGUUAAUACCGAAUAUAGUUGCAAGACCAAAGUGGGGGAGUCUAGGGCGUUUUGGCAUUGGAUGAGCGAAGGAGCCACUCGGCAUUAGCUAGUUGGUAGGGUAACGGCUCACCAAGGCCACGAUCCCUAGCCGAUCUGAGAGGGUGAUCAGCCACACUGGAACUGAGACACGGUCCAGACUCCUACGGGAGGCAGCAGUAGGGAAUAUUCCGCAAUGGGCGCAAGCCUGACGCAGCCACGCCGCGUGUAUGAAGAAGGCCUUCGGAUUGUAAAAUACUGUUAGCAGGGAAGAACAGAUUUGUAUUAAUACCUGUGCACAUUGACGUUACCCGCAGAAAAAGCACCGGCUAACUCCGUG
rnacentral:rRNA from 1 species